GAUGAACGCUGGCGGCGUGCCUAAUACAUGCAAGUCGAGCGAACAGACGAGGAGCUUGCUCCUCUGACGUUAGCGGCGGACGGGUGAGUAACACGUGGAUGACCUACCUAUAAGACUGGGAUAACUUCGGGAAACCGGAGCUAAUACCGGAUAAUAUAUUGAACCGCAUGGUUCAAUAGUGAAAGACGGUUUUGCUAUCACUUAUAGAUGGAUCCGCGCCGCAUUAGCUAGUUGGUAAGGUAACGGCUUACCAAGGCAACGAUGCGUAGCCGACCUGAGAGGGUGAUCGGCCACACUGGAACUGAGACACGGUCCAGACUCCUACGGGAGGCAGCAGUAGGGAAUCUUCCGCAAUGGGCGAAAGCCUGACGGAGCAACGCCGCGUGAGUGAUGAAGGUCUUCGGAUCGUAAAACUCUGUUAUUAGGGAAGAACAAAUGUGUAAGUAACUAUGCACGUCUUGACGGUACCUAAUCAGAAAGCCACGGCUAACUACGUG
rnacentral:rRNA from 1 species